CUAGUUCUUCACUGGCAGGGAAGCAGAGGCCUGGGGAGACAGACAGCAGCAUGUUUUGAUACUGAGCUUUGGAGCAAGGAAAUAAUUAUGACUUUAUCAGUUAAGUGUCAGUCAUUCUGUCUCUCGCUGUUUUGACAUGUUCAAUUCUAGUGACUGGUGGUAAAAGACACGAGAGUGUUAGGGGGGUUUGAAGGGAAAAUUUUAAUAGAGGGAAGCAAGGGGAGAAAAAAACCUGUCGAAGACAAUUUCUGGCAGGCAGUUGGGUUCCUGGUGCAGACAGAUUGGCUGAUGUUGAUUGUUGACAGCUUCUGCAGCUUGCUAAUUACAACUGUAAAAAAUUCAGGUGAAUGACAGGAACUUGAAAUGUUAAUUCUGCUUUUAUUAUUUUGCAGCUGCAACUGUUAGUUGGCUCUUGCUGUAAUUGAUGGACACUGCCAGUUGCUUAGACAGAUGGGAAUUAAUACUGGUGUUCCCAUUAGAACUCGCCAUCACAGUCACGUUGGCUUUGGUCUCCUGCAGUGGGUUGAUGUGUGCAAGAGAGUACGCGAGGAAGGAGCGAGCAUGGCUCCUGCCUGCAGCACUUGCCUUCCAGGGUACUGGAGCCAUCCAUCCAGCACAGAGCAGAUGAGCUACUUGCCAGCUUGCAAAACACAUGGCUUUGAGAUGGUGAGGAAAAUGCUUCUUUGCUGGAUGCUGAGAGAUUGCAGUGAGUAGGACUCUGAUCCGCAGAGGUGUCUGUGAGCUGUAGAUACAGAUCCCACUUCACAGGACAGGAAAGCGUUCUUGGAAGAGGAACCGAAGUUCAAAUGAAGAUGCACGUAAGUAAAAAACUGCUUUGAAAAGAUGAUUGUUUUUUUUCCCCACAAUGAUGUUUCUUUGUAAGUGACUCUUGAGGUUUUUUUGUAAUUGUUUCACAUUUGGACAGUGGCUGGGAGUUGAUGACUGUUUUCAGAGAGUUAAAAGUGGUUUGCCAUUUAUAGCAGCUGUGUGUUAGUCCAGUGAGUGCCUGUGAUUGUAGCCAGCCCUGUUUGGGGGGUGGGCUGUGGCCUGGAGUAGCACGUGGCAGAGCCACCCAGCUAUCCUGCGGGUGGUGCCUUUUGGUCCUGACUGCCUUGUGCUGUGCCUGAGAGUCUGGCCUUCUGCCUGCGUGAGUUCUGAAAAGAGAGGCCUGCCCAAAGUGAGCUUUUCCUGUGCAUCCACGGUGUGCUGGGCUCAUAAAGGAACUCUCAAGCUGUGGGAGCUUUGUGUUAGAAGGGUUCAUUAACUUUCAAAUGUUUCAAUUGAGAAAUUUUAGAGCUCUCAGCAUAGACCAGGGUGGCCGGCUCAGCCAAGAGUGUCCCCUGACAGUCAGGUACAGAUGUGAUUGCUAGUCAGAGCACCGUAAGAAACCUAAUAGUGUCCCAGCAAGUGUCAUACUUGAGCUGGAAAGGAUUAAACCAGAUAGCCCAGAGACGCUGUAAAUAAUUUUUAUUGGGCUUUAAGAACUAGGGAGACGAGAGGAGCCUUUACCUUGUAGCUUGCUAGGAAUUGUUCCUGCAGGGCUGUGGUGUGUGUGCACUGGUGAAAGAAAGGAUUCUGGGACUGGUCUUAAUCUGAGCAGGUGCUUAACUCUAUUCCAAAGUGCCCUGGGACAAGGUAGAUCGUGGUGGUACAAAGGGAUGUUUUUCUGGCUGAUGUCUCUGGUGUGUGAACACUGAGAAAUGAGUAAUGAAAGGCAAUGGGAAACUUUCCUGUUUGGGGGAUGUGAUGUUAGC
ensembl:lncRNA